rnacentral:rRNA from 1 species
CCUGGUUGAUCCUGCCAGUAGUCAUAUGCUUGUCUCAAAGAUUAAGCCAUGCAUGUCUAAGUACAAGCCUCACUAAGGUGAAACCGCGAAUGGCUCAUUAAAUCACACCUAAUGUACUGGACAGUCUCAGUUACUUGGAUAACUGCGGUAAUUCUGGAGCUAAUACAUGCGUACUAGCCGCGACUCACGGAGCGGUGCUUUUAUUAGAUCAAAACCAAACGGCCUCGAGCCGUCCCCCUGGUGAUUCUGAAUAACUUUGGGCUGAUCGCACGGACUCGUUCCGGCGACGUGUCCUUCCAAGGUGUGCCCUAUCAACUGUCGACUGUGGCAUAGACGCCCACAGUGGUUUUGACGGGUAACGGGGAAUUAGGGUUCGAUUCCGGAGAGGGAGCCUGAGAAACGGCUACCACUUCUACGGAAGGCAGCAGGCACGCAAAUUACCCACUGGCCGAAGGCCGAGGUAGUGACGAAAAAUAACGAUACCGGACUCAUCCGAGGCCCGGUAAUCGGAAUGAGUACACUUUAAAUCCUUUAACGAGGAACAAUUGGAGGGCAAGUCUGGUGCCAGCAGCCGCGGUAAUUCCAGCUCCAAUAGCGUAUAUUAAAGUUGUUGCGGUUAAAAAGCUCGUAGUUGGAUCUCGGCGGGCAGGGGGUGGUUCGCUCUUCAGCGCUACUGCCCCGCUUUGCCCGUGUGAUUGGCGGAGGUUUCGGGGUGCUCUUCGUUGAGUGACUCGGAGCGCCGUCAGGUUUACUUUGAAAAAAUUAGAGUGCUCAAAGCAGGCUUUUCACGCUUGAAUAUUCGUGCAUGGAAUAAUGGAAUAGGAACUCGUUUCUAUUUUGUUGGUUUUCGGAAAUCGAGUUAAUGAUUAACAGGGACAAUUGGGGGCAUUAGUAUUCAGACGACAGAGGUGAAAUUCUUGGACCGUCUGAAGACUGACUACUGCGAAAGCAUUUGCCAAGAGUGUUUUCAUUAAUCAAGAACGAAAGUUAGAGGUUCGAAGGCGAUCAGAUACCGCCCUAGUUCUAACCAUAAACGAUGCCAGCUAGCGAUCUGCCGAGUUUUUUUUGUAGGCUCCGCAGGAAGCUUUCGGGAAACCAAAGCUUUUGGGUUCCGGGGGAAGUAUGGUUGCAAAGCUGAAACUUAAAGGAAUUGACGGAAGGGCACCACCAGGAGUGGAGCCUGCGGCUUAAUUUGAC